AUUGAACGCUGGCGGCAUGCCUUACACAUGCAAGUCGAACGGCAGCACGGGAGCAAUCCUGGUGGCGAGUGGCGAACGGGUGAGUAAUGUAUCGGAACGUACCUUUCAGUGGGGGAUAACGUAGCGAAAGUUACGCUAAUACCGCAUAUUCUGUGAGCAGGAAGGCAGGGGAUCGCAAGACCUUGCGCUGAUUGAGCGGCCGAUAUCAGAUUAGCUAGUUGGUGAGGUAAAGGCUCACCAAGGCGACGAUCUGUAGCGGGUCUGAGAGGAUGAUCCGCCACACUGGAACUGAGACACGGUCCAGACUCCUACGGGAGGCAGCAGUGGGGAAUUUUGGACAAUGGGCGCAAGCCUGAUCCAGCCAUGCCGCGUGAGUGAAGAAGGCCUC
rnacentral:rRNA from 1 species